GACGAACGCUGGCGGCAUGUUUAAGACAUGCAAGUCGCACGGGAUCAAUUUUGUAGCAAUACACGGUUGGUUCAGUGGCGCACGGGUGAGUAACACGUGAAUAACAUGCACUUCAGUGGGGAAUAGCCCAGGGAAACUGGGAUUAAUACCCCAUGGUACCGCAAGAUCAAAGGUGGCCGGACGGCUGUCGCUGAAGGAUUGGUUCGCGCCCGAUCAGCGUGUUGGUAGGGUAACGGUUGACCAAGGCUACGACGGGUACCGGGUCUGAGAGGACUAGCAGGCACACGCGAACUAAGACACGGUCCAGACAACUACGGGUGGCAGCAGUCGAGAGUAAUUCACAAUGGGGGCAACCCUGAUGGUGCAACGCCGCGUGGAGGAUGACGGUCUUCGGAUUGGAAACUCCUGUCAUCCGGGAGUAAGACCUGGCUGUGAAUAGCAGACAGGGUUGAUAGUACCGGAAGAGGAAGGGACGGCUAACUUCGUGCCAGCCGCCGCGGUAA
rnacentral:rRNA from 1 species